rnacentral:sRNA from 1 species
UGACCACUUACAAACGGUAAGUUAAAGCCAUACGGACAGCUGGUCAAAGCCGA